CAGCAGCCGCGGUAAUUCGAAGGGGGCUAGCGUUGCUCGGAAUUACUGGGCGUAAAGGGAGCGUAGGCGGGUCGUUUAGUCAGAGGUGAAAUCCCGGGGCUCAACCUCGGAACUGCCUUUGAUACUGGCGACCUUGAGUAUGGGAGAGGUAAGCGGAACUCCGAGUGUAGAGGUGAAAUUCGUAGAUAUUCGGAAGAACACCAGUGGCGAAGGCGGCUUACUGGCCCAUUACUGACGCUGAGGCUCGAAAGCGUGGGGAGCAAACAGGAUUAGAUACCCGCGUAGUCCCUGUCUCUUAUAC
rnacentral:rRNA from 1 species